rnacentral:tRNA from 1 species
CGGGGCGUAGCGCAGCCUGGUAGCGCGUCUGGUUCGGGACCAGAAGGCCGGGGGUUCAAAUCCCUCCGCCCCGA